rnacentral:rRNA from 1 species
UGGUACCUACGGGGGGCAGCAGUGAGGAAUAUUGGUCAAUGGGCGAGAGCCUGAACCAGCCAAGUCGCGUGAGGGAAGACGGUCCUAUGGAUUGUAAACCUCUUUUGUCGGGGAGCAAAAAGACUACGUGUAGUCCCAAGCGAGAGUACCCGAAGAAAAAGCAUCGGCUAACUCCGUGCCAGCAGCCGCGGUAAUACGGAGGAUGCGAGCGUUAUCCGGAUUUAUUGGGUUUAAAGGGUGCGUAGGCUGACUGUCAAGUCAGCGGUCAAAAUUCCGGGCUCAACCCGGUCGUGCCGUUGACACUG